ACCGGCGCAAGGGUGAGUAACACGUAGGCAACCUGCCUUUAGGACGAGGAUAACUCCGAGAAAUCGGGGCUAAUACUCGAUGAUGUCCCGACAUCUAAAGCCCUGCCUGAAGAUGGGCCUGCGUCCCAUUAGGUAGUUGGUGAGGUAACGGCCCACCAAGCCGACGAUGGGUAGCUGGUCUGAGAGGAUGAUCAGCCACACUGGAACUGAGACACGGUCCAGACUCCUACGGGAGGCAGCAGUGAGGAAUAUUGCGCAAUGUCCGAAAGGGUGACGCAGCGACGCCGCGUGGAGGAUGAAGGCCUAUGGGUCGUAAACUCCUUUUGAGGGGGAAGAAUGACGGUACCCCUAGAAAAAGCACCGGCCAACUACGUGCCAGCAGCCGCGGUAAUACGUAGGGUGCAAGCGUUGUCCGGAAUCACUGGGUGUAAAGGGAGCGCAGGCGGGUUGGCAAGUCCUUGGUGAAAUCCUGAGGCUUAACCUCAGGACUGCCAAUGAUAC
rnacentral:rRNA from 1 species